CUGGCUCAGGACGAACGCUGGCGGCGUGCUUAACACAUGCAAGUCGAGCGAUGAAGCUCUUCGGAAGUGGAUUAGCGGCGGACGGGUGAGUAACACGUGGGUAACCUGCCUCAUAGAGGGGAAUAGCCUUUCGAAAGGAAGAUUAAUACCGCAUAAGAUUGUAGUACCGCAUGGUACAGCAAUUAAAGGAGUAAUCCGCUAUGAAGAUGGACCCGCGUCGCAUUAGCUAGUUGGUGAGGUAACGGCUCACCAAGGCGACGAUGCGUAGCCGACCUGAGAGGGUGAUCGGCCACAUUGGGACUGAGACACGGCCCAGACUCCUACGGGAGGCAGCAGUGGGGAAUAUUGCACAAUGGGGGAAACCCUGAUGCCAGCAACGCCGCGUGAGUGAUGACGGCCUUCGGGUUGUAAAACUCUGUCUUUGGGGACGAUAAUGACGGUACCCAAGGAGGAAGCCACGGCUAACUACGUGCCAGCAGCAGC
rnacentral:rRNA from 1 species